rnacentral:rRNA from 1 species
CCUACGGGGGGCAGCAGUCGAGAAUCAUUCACAAUGGGGGAAACCCUGAUGGUGCGACGCCGCGUGGGGGAAUGAAGGUCUUCGGAUUGUAAACCCCUGUCAUGUGGGAGCAAAUUAAAAAGAUAGUACCACAAGAGGAAGAGACGGCUAACUCUGUGCCAGCAGCCGCGGGAAUACAGAGGUCUCAAGCGGUGUUCGGAAUCACUGGGCGUAAAGCGUGCGUAGGCUGUGUCGUAAGUCGUGUGUGAAAGGCGCGGGCUCAACCCGCGGACGGCACAUGAUACUGCGAGACUAGAGUAAUGGAGUGGGAACCGGAAUUCUCGGUGUAGCAGUGAAAUGCGUAGAUAUCGAGAGGAACACUCGUGGCGAAGGCGGGUUCCUGGACAUUAACUGACGCUGAGGCACGAAGGCCAGGGGAGCGAAAGGGAUUAGAUACCCUAGUAGUC